UACGAAGGGGGCUAGCGUUGCUCGGAAUCACUGGGCGUAAAGCGCACGUAGGCGGAUUGUUAAGUCAGGGGUGAAAUCCUGGAGCUCAACUCCAGAACUGCCUUUGAUACUGGCGAUCUCGAGUCCGGGAGAGGUGAGUGGAACUGCGAGUGUAGAGGUGAAAUUCGUAGAUAUUCGCAAGAACACCAGUGGCGAAGGCGGCUCACUGGCCCGGUACUGACGCUGAGGUGCGAAAGCUAGGGGAGCAAACGGGG
rnacentral:rRNA from 1 species